rnacentral:rRNA from 1 species
ACGCUCGACACCUACGGGAGGCAGCAGUGGGGAAUAUUGCACAAUGGGGGAAACCCUGAUGCAGCGACGCCGCGUGAAGGAAGAAGUAUCUCGGUAUGUAAACUUCUAUCAGCAGGGAAGAAAGUGACGGUACCUGACUAAGAAGCCCCGGCUAACUACGUGCCCGCAGCCGCGGUAAUCUGAGCGGGCUGGCAAGGC